GUGCUUACAAGUAGUCAGAGCCCGUUAAUGGGUGAUGGCGUGCCUUUUGUAGAAUGAACCGGCGAGUUACGAUUUGAUGCAAGGUUAAGCAGUAAAUGUGGAGCCGUAGCGAAAGCGAGUCUGAAUAGGGCGUUUAGUAUUUGGUCGUAGACCCGAAACCAGGUGAUCUACCCUUGGUCAGGUUGAAGUUCAGGUAACACUGAAUGGAGGACCGAACCGACUUACGUUGAAAAGUGAGCGGAUGAACUGAGGGUAGCGGAGAAAUUCCAAUCGAACCUGGAGAUAGCUGGUUCUCUCCGAAAUAGCUUUAGGGCUAGCCUCAAGUGAUGAUUAUUGGAGGUAGAGCACUGUUUGGACGAGGGGCCCCUCUCGGGUUACCGAAUUCAGACAAACUCCGAAUGCCAAUUAAUUUAACUUGGGAGUCAGAACAUGGGUGAUAAGGUCCGUGUUCGAAAGGGAAACAGCCCAGACCACCAGCUAAGGUCCCAAAAUAUAUGUUAAGUGGAAAAGGAUGUGGCGUUGCCCAGACAACUAGGAUGUUGGCUUAGAAGCAGCCAUCAUUUAAAGAGUGCGUAAUAGCUCACUAGUCGAGUGACACUGCGCCGAAAAUGUACCGGGGCUAAACAUAUUACCGAAGCUGUGGAUUGUCCUUUGGACAAUGGUAGGAGAGCGUUCUAAGGGCGUUGAAGCAUGAUCGUAAGGACAUGUGGAGCGCUUAGAAGUGAGAAUGCCGGUGUGAGUAGCGAAAGACGGGUGA
rnacentral:rRNA from 1 species